CGAGGAUGAGAACCUCCGGGGGCAAGAGGUUCGACCCGAGCGAAGCGAGAGAACGUUGCGCCAGCAACGGCCCGCAGGGCGAGCCACGUAGUGGCGAGUCAUCCUCUAUCACCGACCA
rnacentral:sRNA from 1 species